UACGUAGGGUGCGAGCGUUACUCGGAAUUACUGGGCGUAAAGCGUGCGCAGGCGGUUUUGUAAGCCAGAUGUGAAAGCCCCGGGCUUAACCUGGGAAUGGCAUUUGGGACUGCAAGGCUUGAGUGCGGCAGAGGAGACUGGAAUUCCUGGUGUAGCAGUGAAAUGCGUAGAUAUCAGGAGGAACACCGGUGGCGAAGGCGGCCUGCUGGGCAGUAGCUGACGCUGAGGCGCGACAGCGUGGGGAGCAAACAGG
rnacentral:rRNA from 1 species